UUUAAUGUCCCUUUCUGUAUCAUAUAUCCUACCUUUUUCUCAGCUGACUUGGUUGGAUCUUGGGGUUCAGAUACACACGUAGGAGAUAGCAGAGUACAAAUUCGCCUCAUUACCAGAUUAAGUUUCGAUUAUGUCACAAUGCCAUGCUCUAGCUCAUUUUAUUGGCCGCUUAUGGUUCAUGAUUCAGCUACACUGUAUGUAACCUGGACGAGAUGUACAAACCAUCACCAAACUCACCUUUAAUGUUUGAUCUCUGAACUUUGUAACUCUGUAAGGAGUUUAUAUCUCAGCGCUGCUGCCUUUGUAAAGAAAAAAACUAUUGUGCGCUUGCUGGGCCACGGUCCAAUCUAGAUGGUAGAGGUCCACCAGCCCACUCACGUUCUCUCCCCUUUCUUCCGCCGAUCCUCUGCCGGCGUCCCCUCCGCCGCCACCUGGUCUCCCCGACUCCGGCACUUCCUCCCCAGGAACAUCCUCCCAUCCAGCCCCUACUUUCCGGCCAAGUGAGAAUUGGAGCCGCGACGCCUUCUAACUCGUGCAUGUCCAAGGCGGUGCGGCGCGUCUAUCUUCUCGCUGGUGACGGGGGCGCCAGCGGCGACGCGAGACACGCGCCGUCGUCCGUGUCUCGUUGCGAGGAUGAAGUUUUCCGGAGGCCUCACUGCCAAUGGAGUGUCUAGUACUGCACCAUAUAUACUCGGCCAUGGAGAACGUAGUUCUGCUGUAGAUGCAUUUUGCAGUUGACAGCCAGCAGAACACUACUCUAAACCUGACCAAGUCUGCUAUGGAUGCAUUACUGGUUCGUUCAGGUAAGUGAGCUAGAUACUCAGCGUGUAGGAGAUUGUUUUAGUUAUCUAGGGUCAUACACGGUCGAGGUUCUAAUUUCUGGAUAAUGUUUAGAUUGCGACGAAUUUGUAUCUGUGAACACUGCUACCUGUCUGGCUCACAUAUAUGUGUAUCUGUUUCCAGAUAGUUUGUGCUUUAAUCAUGUGCAGUUCAGGUCUACUUGUGUGGCUGGAAUGAGCAAGUGUAUGUGAUAAUUAACCUACUAAGUGAUGAUAUGUGUAUGGACUAUGGCAAAGCCAGACAAAUUCAUCAUUUGAUUUACCAUGACUACGAUGGGCCCGAAGAACACAUCUACUCCUUGCCGCCUCCACUGGCAUCUUGCUGCUAGUGGACGCCGGCCGCACUUGAUACUCCUUGGAACGAUGGUGUCGGGGCCAACUCUAGGACCACCGACGUGUGGGAUGCAGGAGGAUGAUCGAGUGUCACCCGUCGAGGUGGUUUUGGACUGCACCAAGAAUUGGUUCCAGGACACUCUCAAGGAGGUGUGUGUGCCGGUGACACUGCUAUGCAAGUGCUCGUCAGCCUGACGUGUGCAGUAGCGGCUACGAUGUCAACAAGAGCAACCACAAGCUCAUUCUUAAAUGCACGUCACCAAACAUGCACCUGGCUUCAUCAAAUAUGCUCCUUCAGUAUCUUUGAAGAGUUAUAAUUUAUACUGGACGUGUGUGUCUGUUCCUUGGCGGUGAAAUUACUCGGUGGGAUGUAACCUGGACAGUUCAGGGGAGUAAGCUCCAUCUAAGAGAGG